GGGGGGGGGGGGGAGGGGUUGAAGGGAGAGAGAGAAGCACUCCCCGCUGAGCAGGGAGCCUGACUCGGGGCUCAGUUCCAGGACCCUGGGAUCAUGACCUGAGCUGAAGGCCAACCUUAACUGACUGAGCCACCCACAUACCCCACCAUCCCCUCACUUUCAGUCUGCUGAUGUUUUUCAGUCUGAAAUUGAGUCUCUUGUAGGCAGCAUAUACAUGGGUCUUAUUUUCUUACCCACUCUGUCAUCCUGUGUUUUUUUUUUUAAGAUUUAUUUACCCAUUUUAUUUAUUCAUUUAGAUUUUAUUUAUUGAGAGAGAGAGACAGAGAUAGCGAGAGAGAGCACAAGUGGGGAGGAGAGGGAGAAGCAAGCCGGCUCCCUGCUGAGCAAGGAGCCCAAUGCAGGACUUGAUCCCAGGACCCUGGGAUCAUGACCUAGGCCAGAGGCAGCGGCUUAACUGACUGAGCCACCCAGGUGCCCCUUAUUUACCCAUUUUAGAGAGUGCAUGCAUGCACUGGGAGGGGCAGAGGGAGAGAGAGAGAAAACUCCCCACUGAGCAUGGAGCCCAAUGAGGGGCUUACUCCCACAACCCUGAGAUCAUGACCCAAGGCGAAACCGAAAUGGACACCCAACCAACUGAGCCACCCAGGUGCCCUGCACCCUAUGUCUUUUGAUUGAAAUGUUUAGUCCAUUUACAUUCAAAGUAAUUACUGAUAAUAUGUAUUUAUUGCCAUUUUGUUACUUGCUUUGUUGUUGUUUCUAUAGAUUUUCUCUAUUUUCUUGCUCUCAUGAUUUUUGGUUUUCUUUAGUGAUAUACUUGGAUUCCUUUCUCUUUAUUCUUUGCAUAUCUAUUACUUUUUUUUUUUUUUUUAAGAUUUAGUUAUUUGAGAAAGUGAGAAUGAGAGAGAGAUCGCGCACAUGAGAUGGGGGAGGGUCAGAGGGAGAAGCAGACUCCUUGCCGAGCCGGGAGCCCAAUUCGGGACUCGAUCCCGGGACUCCAGGAUCAUGACCUGAGCCGAGGGCAGCCGCCCAACCAACUGAGCCACCUGGGCACCCUCUAUUACUUGGUUUUUAAUUUGUGGUUUCUAUUAGGUUUGCAUAUAAUGUCUUUUGCAUAGAGCAGUCUAUAUUAAGUUGAUGGUUGCUUAAGUUUAAACCCCUUCUUUACUCUUCUCCUCCCCACAUUUUAAGUGUAUGGUAUCAUAUUUUACCUCCUUUUACUUUAUGAAUCCCUUGACUAAUUUUUAUAGAAAUAUUUAUUUUUACUGCUUUUGUUUUUUUAUUUUUCAUACUCUCCCUUAUGGUCUUUCUAUUCAAAAAGUCCCUUUUAGUUUUUCUUGUAGGGCUGGUUUAGUGACUGUGAACUCCUUAGUUUUUUUUGAGAAACUCUUUAUCUCUCCUUCAGGUUUGAAUGAUAACCUUGCUGGAUAGAGUAUUCUUGGCUGCAGAUUUUUCUCUUGCAGCACUUUUAAUAUAUGCCACUCUCUUCUGGCCUGCAAAAUUUCUGCUGAAAACCUCUGAUAGCCUUAGGGGGGCGUUUUCCCUUGCAUGUAACUGUCUUGUUUUCUCUUACUGCUUUUAAAAUUUUUUCUUUAUUGCGACUUUUUGACAUUUUAGUUACUGUGUCUUGGUUUGGACCUCCUUUGGUUAUGUGGGAUGGGGGAGAAUGUCUCUGCCUCCUGGAUCUGGAUAUCUGUUUCCUUCCCCAGAUUAGGAAAGUUUUCAGCUAUUAUUUCUUCCAAAUAAAUUUUCUUCCCCCUUAUCUCUCUCUUCUUGUGAGGUCCCUGUAAUGUGGAUGUUAUUACACUUGAUGGAGUUACUGAGUUCCCUAACACUAUUCUCAGCUUGCAUAAUUUCGUCUUUUUCUCAGCUUAGUUACUUUCCAUUACUGUGCCUUCCAGGUCAUUAAUUUUUUUUUUUUUUUUAAGAUUUUAUUUAUUUAUUUGACAGAGAGAGAGAGAUAGCAAGAGCAGGAACACAAGCAGGGGGAGUGGGAGAGCGAGAAACAGGCUUCCCGCUGAGCAGGGAGCCCGAUGCAGGGCUCGAUCCCAGGCCCGUGGGAUCAUGACCUGAGCCGAAGGCAGACGCUUAACAACUGAGCCACCCAGGCACCCCAUUCCAGGUCGUUAAUUUGUUCUUCUGCUUCAUAUAGCCUGCUGUUUAUUCCGUCAGGUGUAUUUUAAUGUCAUCGAUUGUGUUCAUCUCUGAUUGGUUCUUUUUUAUCUCUUUCUAAAGGGUCUCACUGAUGUCCUCCACUCUUUUCUCCAGUCCAGCUAUUAGCAGGAAAUUGUGGCUUUCAACCUUAUAUCACCAAUGCCUGACAUACAACAUACAGUCAGUAAGUGGAUGCUAAUAACUGAAUAAGCCCCUUUGUUCUGCAAAUGAAUAAAACCAAAUUCAAUUUCCCAUUUUUCCUAAUGAAAGUGUAACUAUGAUACCUGAGAAUUGGAGAGACUUUAUUUCAAGAAACAAAAAAAAAAGUUCACUUUCCCCUUCUUCUCCUAAAGUACUUGGAUUUCCAACAAAGAGAAAUGACUGAAAUACUAGAAAGAAGAAUUGAGACUACUAUUCUAUUUUCUUUGUCCUAUUGGCCAGACAAUUCUUGAAAUUCAUGUUUAAUAAUCUUCAAUAACUGAGUAGGAUGAAUUUUAGCCAAUCAAUCAAGUUACCUCAGAACAAUGAAAUGAAAGUGAUUUUAAGAGGUAGCAGACUGGAAAAGUGAAAAGAGCAUUACAUAGGAAGUCAAAGAACUUGAAUGUAUGUUUCUAUCCUACAUCUUGGGAGGUCUAUGGAAGAGUCACAAUCUCUCAGUUUCCUCUCUUCACCUAUAAAAUGGAGACAAGAAGAGUACUAUUUCAUAGAGUUCUUGUGAGAAUUAAAUAAAUUAACCCAUACAAGAUAACCCUGGAGCAUACUGCCAUAUCAGCUAGUAAGGAAGCUAUCAAAGACUAAUUCUAAGCUUGUGUCAAAGGACUUGGAAGCCAACCUGAAGAGGCUUGUAUCUUUGGCUAAAAAUGGAACAAUUUAAGUAUCAAUAAGGAUAAUAACUGCAACAGAUUAAAAAAAUACCAAAUAGCCGAAAUACUUAAGUUCCUAACAUUAAAUAAAAAUUAAUUGGUCUCCUUUGGAGAAUCAUAGAGAACCAACUCUUUAUUUUGAAAACUAAUUAUAAAUAUGGAAAGAAUCACCAAAUAGUAGAUAAAGUUUCUCUUUAUAAAAGUAUUCCAACAAAUACAUGGGAAAAAAGUCACAGUCAGAGUAAUACCAUUUUGCAACUCCUGAUAAAUUAAUGGAUCGAAGUAAUGAUCACCAAUGGCUGCUGCUAACACGACAAAGAAUAGACAUGACUGACAUUAUAUACCUCUUGAUAAAGAAUGCAAUACGACCUAUAGUCUUGCAACCCAACAAAAAACUGAACUAUCAACAUAAAUAGGUACCUACAUCCAACCCAAUUUACAAGAAACAGAGAAGACAACGAAAUACGUUAAACUAUACCACAGGAAUACAAUCCAGUAAAGUCCUGACUUGAAAAA